rnacentral:rRNA from 1 species
UACGAAGGGUGCUAGCGUUGUUCGGAAUCACUGGGCGUAAAGCGCGCGUAGGCGGCUUUGCAAGUCAGGGGUGAAAUCCCACAGCUUAACUGUGGAACUGCCCUUGAAACUGCAAAGCUAGAGUGUCGGAGGGGAUGGCGGAAUUGCUAAUGUAGAGGUGAAAUUCGUAGAUAUUAGCAGGAACACCGGUGGCGAAGGCGGCCAUCUGGACGACAACUGACGCUGAGGCGCGAAAGCGUGGGAAUCAAACAGG